rnacentral:misc_RNA from 1 species
UUUUUUGCCCUUCAGCAGCGGCACUUGAACGCGUUCGGGGAUUUCAAGGGCAGACCUCGAUCUACUGCUUUGCAGGCUAUUCAAAUAAACUAAAUCGUAGAAGAUAUUGGACGAUCCACCGCGCUCCGUGACAUAGACAACGCUCAAAGGUGCAGAGUUUUGCGGGCCCAAGGUCUGUAUCAGGGUUUGAUUAGGUAAGAGAGAGAGGAGAGAAGAAGACAGAGAAGGAAAGAAACCGUUGAAAUUAAGCGAUUUGCCGUCGGUGAGCUGGAUCUCGUCGGCGGAGGAAGGUGAGGCACGAGUGGGGAGAGUAAAGAUGUCGAAAGCGUAGGUUGAUCUGCUACCGAGCGUGGCGAAGAUGAUGGUGGUGGCGCCGGAUGAUUCAUGGUCCGGCGAAGCACUGGAUAGAGCUAUUGAGAAAUGAAGAAGUAGAGUAAGGACUAGGGGUGCCAUGGGCUCUGGAGUUUCAC